GUUGGUCCUCGGUAGUGGCAAGCGGGUCAUCGCAGGACGAUACCCCGCUGGCCUCGAUCGAAGACCGGC
rfam:Propionibacterium sp. oral taxon 192 str. F0372 genomic scaffold acKdT-supercont1.2, whole genome shotgun sequence.